UACGUAGGUGGCGAGCGUUAUCCGGAAUUAUUGGGCGUAAAGAGCGCGCAGGUGGUUGAGCAAGUCAGAUGUGAAAUCCCUGGGCUUAACCCAGGAAGUGCAUUUGAAACUGUUCAGCUUGAGUAAGGAAGAGGGAAGUGGAAUUCCUGGUGUAGAGGUGAAAUUCGUAGAUAUCAGGAGGAACACCGGUGGCGAAGGCGACUUCCUGGUCCUAUACUGACGCUGAGACGCGAGAGCGUGGGGAGCAAACAGGAUUAGAUACCCGGGUA
rnacentral:rRNA from 1 species